CCCCGUCGCAUGUGCGGGUAAUCACAUGCACCUCCCUGUUGGACUGGCCCCGGCACAACGCCGGGGUCUUUUU
rnacentral:ncRNA from 1 species